rnacentral:rRNA from 1 species
GACGAACGCUGGCGGCGUGCUUAACACAUGCAAGUCGAACGGAAAGGCCCUGCUUUUGUGGGGUGCUCGAGUGGCGAACGGGUGAGUAACACGUGAGUAACCUGCCCUUGACUUUGGGAUAACUUCAGGAAACUGGGGCUAAUACCUGAUAGGAGCUCCUGCUGCAUGGUGGGGGUUGGAAAGUUUCGGCGGUUGGGGAUGGACUCGCGGCUUAUCAGCUUGUUGGUGGGGUAGUGGCUUACCAAGGCUUUGACGGGUAGCCGGCCUGAGAGGGUGACCGGCCACAUUGGGACUGAGAGACGGCCCAGACUCCUACGGGAGGCAGCAGUGGGGAAUAUUGCACAAUGGGCGGAAGCCUGAUGCAGCAACGCCGCGUGCGGGAUGACGGCCUUCGGGUUGUAAACCGCUUUCGCCUGUGACGAAGCGUGAGUGACGGUAAUGGGUAAAGAAGCACCGGCUAACUACGUG